rnacentral:rRNA from 1 species
GCCCUAGUAACGGCGAGUGAAGCGGCAACAGCUCAAUUUGAAAUCUGGCUCUUUCAGGGUCCGAGUUGUAAUUUGCAGAGGGCGCUUUGGCGUUGGCAGCGGUCCAAGUUCUUUGGAACAGGACGUCACAGAGGGUGAGAAUCCCGUACGUGGUCGCUAGCCUUCGCCGUGUAAAGCCCCUUCGACGAGUCGAGUUGUUUGGGAAUGCAGCUCUAAAUGGGAGGUAAAUUUCUUCUAAAGCUAAAUACUGGCCAGAGACCGAUAGCGCACAAGUAGAGUGAUCGAAAGAUGAAAAGCACUUUGGAAAGAGAGUCAAAUAGCACGUGAAAUUGUUGAAAGGGAAGCGCUUGCAGCCAGACUUGCCUGUAGUUGCUUAUCCGGACUUUUGUCCGGUGCACUCUUCUGCGGGCAGGCCAGCAUCAGUUUGGGCGGUUGGAUAAAGGUCUCUGUCAUGUACCUCCUUUCGGGGAGGCCUUAUAGGGGAGACGACAUGCAACCAGCCUGGACUGAGGUCCGCGCAUCUGCUAGGAUGCUGGCGUAAUGGCUGUAAGCGGCCCGUCUUGAAACACGGACCAAGGAGUCUAACAUCUAUGCGAGUGUUUGGGUGUCAAGCCCAGACGCGUAAUGAAAGUGAACGGAGGUGGGAACCCUUUGGGUGCACCAUCGACCGAUCCUGAUGUCUUCGGAUGGAUUUGAGUAAGAACAUGGCUGUUGGGACCCGAAAGAUGGUGAACUAUGCUUGAAUAGGGUGAAGCCAGAGGAAACUCUGGUGGAGGCUCGCAGCGGUUCUGACGUGCAAAUCGAUCGUCAAAUUUGGGCAUAGGGGCGAAAGACUAAUCGAACUAUCUAGUAGCUGGUCCCUGCCGAAGUUUCCCUCAGGAUAGCAGUAACGUAUUCAGUUUUAUGAGGUAAAGCGAAUGA